AAUGAAUUCAUGCAGCAAGAACACUCAGAAUUCUACUGAAGUUUAAAUUCAAGACAGAGAAGCAGAGAUAUGCUCAGAUUGAGCUCAACUGUUCCAUACAGAGCACAACAGAUAGCUUGUUUACAACAUUUUAUGACAUUUAUAUGUCACAUAUAUGUUCCUGUUUUCCUUAUUUGGUCCUUCCUGUUCCUGUCCUCAUCAUGUGAAUUCAUCUCCAGUUGUGUUUGAUUAGUUAGUUUGUAUUGUUCCCAGGUGUGUCCCAUUGUUAUCUGCCCUAUUUAGUUCUACCCCGUUCUGUUCUCCCUUGUCUGGAAUUGUGUUUGUCUACAUUGCUAUGUGUGUUUCCUUUGGAUGAUUAAAAGUGGUAAAAUUCUCCUAAGACUCCUUGCUCCUUUGCUCUGUGCUCCUCACAGUAGCACCCUGUGACAGAAUUCCAGACCAAAAACAAUGUACGCGGCACCCCCUUUCCCCUGGUUUAUUUUCUUUUCUUUUUUUUCUUUUUUUAAGAAUUUUUUUUGUUAUUGUUUUUCCUGCUCAUUCUGCCGCGGUGCAAUGGAAGAACGAGCAAUGUUCAUUGCCGUGGCUCAGGUGAAGCCCAACCCGAUCGCCUUCCUGAGGGCAUUUGUGCCGCUCGCCCUCGCCAGCUUCCUCAAGGGAGAUACCCUUGCAAUGCAGGCCCCAGAGUUUGCUCCAGUGUUGGCCAAGACCAUGCCUUUUCCCCCCUAUCCAGAAGAGGAAACUAGGGGUGAGGAGAAGGAUGUCGGCCCAGGCCCCAGAGUUCGCUCCAGUGUCAGCCCAGCCCCAGAUCGAAGCCCAGGAUGGGCUCCUGUUCCAGAGUUAAGCCCAGGGAGGGCUCCUGAUUCCCUGUUAAGCCCAGGGAGGGCUCCUGAUUCCCCGUUAAGCCAAGGGAGGGCUCCUGAUUCCCCGUUAAGCCCCGGGAGGGCUCCCUAUUCCCCGUUUAGCCCAGGGAGGGGUCCUGACCCCCAGUUAUGCCCAGGGAAGGCUCCUGAUCCCCAGUUGCGCCCAGGUAGGGCCCCAGAUCCUCAAGUAUGCCCAGGGAGGGCUACAGCCUCAGAGAAUGCUUCCGUGUUGGCUCCAGCCCCAGAGCUUGCUACAGUGUUGGCUCAAGAGCCAGCUCUUCCAGACCGCCCGCCAGAACCAGCUCUACCAGAGCGCCCAUCAAGAUACCUAAUUUUCUCCAAGAAUUUUUUUGGGGUGGGGGGGGGCAAAUGACCGUGGCUGUGGUGACCGAGCCGGCUAAGGCCACGGAAGAUCCGCCAUGGCUUCCUGAUCCGCCCUGGAGGCCCGUUCUGUUCUCCCUUGUCUGGAAUUGUGUUUGUCUAUAUUGCUACGUGUGUUUCCUUGGGAUGAUUAAAAGUGGUAAAAUUCUCCUAUGACUCCUCGCUCCUUUGCUCCUUGCUCCUCACAGUAGGACCCUGUGACAAUAUACAUAUACAUACACAGGUCCUAAAAUUAACACUCACCAAAUGCGAGUAAAAAAUUGACAGCUUUGGCAAAUAUCUGUGUCAGUCGCCAGAUGGCCG
ensembl:lncRNA